ACCAUAUGAAACCAAAAAUCGCAGGACUUAAAAUCCUGUGGGCCGAAACGCCCGUACGGGUUCGAUUCCCGUCCCCGGUA
rnacentral:tRNA from 1 species